rnacentral:lncRNA from 1 species
CCUCAGCCCCCCGGCCUCCCCGUCCUGGGCUCCCAGCACAGACCUGAGCAGAUGACUCCCGCAUCCUCCUUGUGCCCGCAGUCGUGCUGUCCCCAGGCCUCAGCAGAGCAGUUCCAGAGAGCAGAUUCGGCCCCAGAGCAGUUCACGCCAUCCAGCCAGAUGUGCCCUCUGGCUUUGGGGAGCCCUCCCCAAAGCGAGCCGAGCCGGCCGCCUCCACGGCCCAUCCGCAGCUCAGCUGGCGGCAAACCACGUUGGCGUCGGCCGUGUCCCAGGCACUGUGGGGCAUCGUCGCAGACCGUGCCCCACUGCCCCCGGUAGUAGAUCUCCACUCUCCCUGCACAUCGCCCAGCCCCGUCCACCAGCCGGACCUGGCGGCUCCCUGCAGCGGGGGGAAGCCCCGGCUGUCAGAGGCCGGCCGCGCGCCCGAUCCCACAUCCAGGGGACGCGCUGCUCACCCCGGCACACGGCCCCCACGUCCUCCACGAUGCCUGCGGCCUCGGGCAGGGAGGUGUUGCAGAGGCUCAGGCCGGCCUCGUGGCCUGCACACCGCACCCCGCGCAGCCCCACGGGGCCCGUCCCUCGCUCGGCCCUCGGCACAGUGUAGGCUGCCUCUGCCUCCUCGCAGCGCAGCUGCCGGCACACCACGCUCGCGUCCUCCAUGUCCCACUGAUCAUCCAGGACUCUGCCCCACGUCCCGCGCUGCAACAUCUCCACGCGCCCGUCGCACCGGCUCCCUGCACCCACCAGCCUUAGAGAUGCGCUGUGAGGCGGGCCUGGGGGGAGCAGAAAUGCCAGGAAUGCACGCUGCAGGAUUGCUCCGGGGACGGGUUCAGCCUGGUGAUGCCAUAGGAUCCCAGGGGACUUUUGGGUGGCUGUGUGGCACACGAGGCGCAAUUCCUGCAGCGUUAUCCUGACACACACCUGAGCAAAUGACGGCAGCAUCGUUCUCAUGGGAGCACGCAGAGGCCCCCAGGGCGCUCACCGGGCACUGAUCCGGGCUGCUCUCAGUCCCCUCACAGUGGAACCAGUCAUUCCACACCGGGCCACUUCCUCUCCCAAAAUGCCCUCCUCCAGGAAUGGACACCGCAAACCCGCAGCCCAGGUGAUGACAGAGAACGUGGGCGUCCAAGAGGUCCCAGCAGGAGGCACAAAGGCUG